rnacentral:lncRNA from 1 species
ACAAAGACUUGCACGACGGAGAUUGCACAUGAUUCAGAUGUCGGUUUACACAAUAUUAGAUCAAAAAUGAAAUAAUGAAGUAAAUCGUAAAAUUUGAUCGUAUUACUGAUUAAAGUUACUGUUAAAAAAACAUGUAACUAAUUAUAUUUCCUUAAUAUCUAGCCCCAAGCUGAGAGAAAAGUUCUAAUUAAUUUUAUAUUUUUG